GCUAAACGCGAAGAACCUUACCAGGCCUUGACAUCCUGAGAACCCUCCAGAGACGGAGGGUGCCCUCCGGGUAGGCUCAGAGACAGGUGCUGCAUGGCUGUCGUCAGCUCGUGUCGUGAGAUGUUCGGUUAAGUCGGCAACGAGCGCAACCCUCCGCCAUUAGUUGCCAGCAUUUCGGAUGGGCACUCUAGUGGGACUGCCUAUGAAAGUAAGGAGGAAGGCGGGGAGUGACGUCUAGUCAGCAUGGUCCUUACGGCCUGGGGCGACACACGUGCUACAAUGGCCGGUCAGCGCGCUGCCACCUCGCGAGAGGGAGCUAAUCGCGAAAGCCGGUCCCAGUUCAGAUUGCAGUCUGCAACUCGACUGCAUGAAGUUGGAAUCGCUAGUAAUCGCGGAUCAGAUGUCGCGGUGAAUACGUUCCCGGGUCUUGUACACACCGAGUCGUGG
rnacentral:rRNA from 1 species